GCAAAACAGAAAUGGAACAGGGGCAGAAAAUAGCACACUUUUACGCUACGCAACUGUUGCUUUCGCAUGGUUAUCGAUCAUUACAAUGGCACUGUAAAGAGAUGACUCAGAAAUAACAGAUAUCCUUGAUGAUUAAUGAGAGACCUUUCCACGCACCUAUAAAGACCUGUCAAUCAGAUUGGGUCACUACGAAGACUGACUAAGAGAAGGAGAGAGGCUGGAUUGUUCCAUAUGAAGAGAACAUCAGGAAUGAGAAAGAAUUCCUGCCACCCCCAAUGUCACCUACACAAAAUCUUUUCAAUUGAAUAAAUGGCCAGUGUAAGAUGAACAAGGGAGAAAAUGCCAGAAACUACAAUGUGUUAACGUUGUAGUAGAUAAAUACUCUUAAACUUUUAGAGACACAGUGCAGCUCUGUAGUGUGAUGGUCCUUCCUCUGGUCUCCCAAAUUUCUGAGGGUGGAUGAUGUCUGCCACAUUGUGACCAUAAGCAUGCUCAUAAAGAAAUGCUUAGAUAGGAAAUAUCUACAUACCAUGAUGGAAAAGUCAAAUGCAAGACAAAUAUUUUGCUGAAAUAAUUCAUUUUACUGGUUUAUUAUCACUAGUGAAAACCACAAUAUAACUCUAAUGAAAUACCCCCAAGAAAAUGUAUCUUUUCAGUGUAUGCCAUGUUUGCUCUUGAGGAUUCAAAAUUCAAUGAUGCAUUUUAGCUCUUGAAUGUUUGGCUUUAUCACAGUGUUUCCCAUACUUUUAAUAAGGAAUACCAUUAUAGCUGGUGUUUGGUAAAUUUAAGAUUCAGAAAUACUCAUCAAAAUCACAGUAUAACCAAAAUUUUUGUAGUAAAAUUAUAUACUGCCUAGUUUAUUACUGACAGAGAAUUUAGUCUCAAAUUUUGUCUGUUAAAAAAAUGUACAGCAUACCGUAAGUAUGGAAAAGAACAUUUUUUCAUGUUGUAGAAUAAUAAAAGCUGUUUCGCAUUUAUACUCUAUUGCAAUCUAUAGCGAAAGAUGCUAGGAAUAUGUUCAUAUUGCUGCAACUGUUAUUUCGAGCAUGAGUGACUAUACAUAUAUACACACUAAUGAUUUUUGUAAAGCUGACUACAUAUGUUAAUUUUUUCAGAGUAUUACUUUGGUCAGUAAAGACAUUCAACUUAAACUUUGACAUAAAACAGCAUUUUUUUUUUUCCCAAAGAGAAAAACCACCUUAGGAACUUAACUUGGUUAUACAAGUGAGAACAACUCAAUAUUCAUUGGUUUGACAAAUGUUUCAAGCAUCUCUUUUGUGCCUACACUCCUCAAAGCACUGGGGAUAGAGCAGUCAACAAAACAGACAAAUAUCUCUGCCCUCAUGGAGUUUACAUUCUAAUGGGAGAAGCUCAUCCCUCCUCAGCUUCUCAAAUAUUUUUAAGUAAAUCCCCUUCAAAUUUAAAUGAAUAAAAAUAUUUGUCAUUAUUGAAUGAAAAGCCCUCAGGAGGGUUUCUAAACCAAGUAAAUAACAAAGAGGUAGGAUUUGGGUUGGUUAAACACAUUUGUGUACUCUUCUUCAGAGAGGCAAAGGAUGAUAAGAUUACACCAGUACAGUUUACAUAUUUUAGAACCUGCAGAAAGCUCUCCUGGUGAAAACAAGUGAUUAAAUAUUACUCUUUUGAUCCUUCUUGGAACAUUUUUUGCUUCUGUUCUCUUCCCUAUCUCGAGGAAACUUAGAGUAAUCAAUGUAUCUUAGCCACUUUUCUUAUCUAAUUCGUCUGCAUUGUAUGACUGAAUAUAACUGAAUUUUCAGUCAUUAAAACAACAGACUAAAGUAGUGAUGCCGAAUUUCAUGAUUCAAACUCCAACUCCUUUGCGUGUCAUAAUAAUUUUACUUUUAAUACACAUGACAUUUUGCCCAAAUAUGAGUCUUCAUGAUAACUAUCAGGUGUGAACGUACACUUUCUGUCUAAAUCAAGACUUUUUCAACUAUCCUGAUUUAAUAUAGAUUAGAACAGAAAAUACAUUAUUCCCCUAGUAAAGAAAAAAUUUGAUAAUAAACCCAGAUUGAUGAUUCUCCAUCACUAUUCUAAAUUGUAAUUAUUCUUUAGAUGUAUGCAAUGCAGUCUAAUAGGAUAAGUAUUUGUUUUCUUAUGGAGUUUCUGGAUUUCUGACUUGCCUUAAGUG